rnacentral:rRNA from 1 species
GUGGGGAAUAUUGGACAAUGGGGGCAACCCUGAUCCAGCAAUGCCGCGUGUGUGAAGAAGGCCUGCGGGUUGUAAAGCACUUUCAGUAGGGAAGAAAAGCCUGGGGCUAAUACCUCCGGGUCUUGACGUUACCUAAAGAAGAAGCACCGGCUAACUCCGUGCCAGCAGCCGCGGUAAUACGGAGGGUGCGAGCGUUAAUCGGAAUUACUGGGCGUAAAGCGCACGUAGGCGGUCUGGUAAGUCGGAUGUGAAAGCCCCGGGCUUAACCUGGGAAUUGCAUUCGAUACUGCCUGACUGGAGUAUGGGAGAGGGAAGCGGAAUUUCCGGUGUAGCGGUGAAAUGCGUAGAUAUCGGAAGGAACAUCAAUGGCGAAGGCAGCUUCCUGGCCCAAUACUGACGCUGAGGUGCGAAAGCGUGGGGAUCAAACAGGAUUAGAAACCCCAGUAGUCC